CUUUUAUAUCCUUAUACACCUGUGAACUAUUUGCCUUUGGGCACAAACUUAAACAUAAUGCAAUGAAUGUAAACUAUUAUAACAAAUACAACUUUCAACAACGGAUCUCUUGGCUCUCACAUCGAUGAAGAACGCAGCGAAAUGCGAUAAGUAAUGUGAAUUGCAGAAUUCAGUGAAUCAUCGAAUCUUUGAACGCAAAUUGCGCCCUUUGGUAUUCCGAAGGGCAUGCCUGUUUGAGUGUCUUAUAAACCUCCAACUAUAGUUUAUUCUGUAGCUGGCUUUGGGUGUUGCCAGCGAUGGCUCGCCUUAAAUGUCUAAGUGGAAUGCAUAAUAAGUUCUUGCAACCCUCCACUCUAACACACUUUAUAUUCUGACCUCAAAUCAGGUAGGACUACCCGCUGAACUUAAGCAUAUCAAUAAGCGGAGGAAAAGAAACUAACAAGGAUUCCCUUAGUAGCGGCGAGCGAAGCGGGAAGAGCUCAAAUUUGUAAUCUGGCGUCUUUCAGGCGUCCGAGUUGUAAUCUAUAGAAGUGUUUUCUAUGU
rnacentral:rRNA from 1 species